rnacentral:rRNA from 1 species
GCCCUUGCGGAUCCGCGGCCGCUGCAGAGUUUGAUCCUGGCUCAGAGCGAACGCUGGCGGCGUGCCUAACACAUGCAAGUCGAGCGGACUGUAAAGAGGGGUAACUCUCUUUGCAGUUAGCGGCGCACGGGUGAGUAACACGUGGGUAACCUACCCUUAGGAGAGGGAUAACCCGAGGAAACUUGGGCUAAUACCUCAUAAGACCACAGGCUGAAAUGCUCGUGGUAAAAGGAGCAAUCCACCUAAGGAUGGGCCCGCGGCCUAUCAGGUAGUUGGUAGGGUAAUGGCCUACCAAGCCUAUGACGGGUAGCCGAGCUGAGAGGCUGGCCGGCCACAUUGGGACUGAGACACGGCCCAGACUCCUACGGGAGGCAGCAGUGGGGAAUAUUGGGCAAUGGGCGAAAGCUGACCCAGCGACGCCGCGUGGGGGAAGAAGGCCUUCGGGUUGUAAACCCCUUUUGCAGGGGACGACACAGGACGGUACCCUGCGAAUAAGCCACGGCUAACUCUGUGCCAGCAGCCGCGGUAAGACAGAGGUGGCAAGCGUUGCUCGGAUUCACUGGGCUUAAAGGGCGCGUAGGCGGCUUUGUAAGUCCCAGG